GACGAACGCUGGCGGCGUGCCUAAUACAUGCAAGUAGAACGCACAGUUUAUACCGUAGCUUGCUACACCAUAGACUGUGAGUUGCGAACGGGUGAGUAACGCGUAGGUAACCUGCCUGGUAGCGGGGGAUAACUAUUGGAAACGAUAGCUAAUACCGCAUAAUAUUAAUUAUUGCAUGAUAAUUAAUUGAAAGGUGCAAUUGCACCACUACCAGAUGGACCUGCGUUGUAUUAGCUAGUAGGUGAGGUAACGGCUCACCUAGGCGACGAUACAUAGCCGACCUGAGAUGAUGAUCGGCCGCACUGGGACUGAGACACGGCCCAGACGCCUACGGGAGGCAGCAGUAGGGCAUCGUCGGCAAGGGACGAAAGUCUGACCGAGCAACGCCGCGUGAGUGAGGAAGGUUGUCGGAUCGUAAAGCUCUGUUGUAAGAGAAGAACGGGUGUGAGAGUGGAAAGUUCACACUGUGACGGUAUCUUACCAGAAAGGGACGGCUAACUACGUG
rnacentral:rRNA from 1 species